GGUGAACGCUGGCGGCGUGCCUAAGACAUGCAAGUCGAGCGGGGCAGGUUUAUACCUGUUCAGCGGCGGACGGGUGAGUAACGCGUGGGUGACCUACCCGGAAGAGGCGGACAACCUGGGGAAACCCAGGCUAAUCCGCCAUGUGGUCCUGUCCUGUGGGGCAGGACUAAAGGGUGGAUAGCCCGCUUCCGGAUGGGCCCGCGUCCCAUCAGCUAGUUGGUGGGGUAAAGGCCCACCAAGGCGACGACGGGUAGCCGGUCUGAGAGGAUGGCCGGCCACAGGGGCACUGGGCCCCGGGCCCCACUCCUAGGGGGGGCAGCAGUGAGGAAGCUUCCGGAAUGGACGGAAGUCGGACGGAGCGACGCCGCUUGGAGGAGGAAGCCCUUCGGGGUGUUAACUCCUGAACUGGGGACGAAAGCCCUGUGUAGGGGGAUGACGGUACCCAGGUAAUAGCGCCGGCCAACUCCGUG
rnacentral:rRNA from 1 species